rnacentral:rRNA from 1 species
CACACUGGACUGAGACACGGUCCAGACUCCUACGGGAGGCAGCAGUGGGGAAUAUUGCACAAUGGGCGCAAGCCUGAUGCAGCCAUGCCGCGUGUGUGAAGAAGGCCUUCGGGUUGUAAAGCACUUUCAGUCGUGAGGAAGGUAGUGUAGUUAAUAGCUGCAUUAUUUGACGUUAGCGACAGAAGAAGCACCGGCUAACUCCGUGCCAGCAGCCGCGGUAAUACGGAGGGUGCGAGCGUUAAUCGGAAUUACUGGGCGUAAAGCGCAUGCAGGUGGUUUGUUAAGUCAGAUGUGAAAGCCCGGGGCUCAACCUCGGAAUAGCAUUUGAAACUGGCAGACUAGAGUACUGUAGAGGGGGGUAGAAUUUCAGGUGUAGCGGUGAAAUGCGUAGAGAUCUGAAGGAAUACCGGUGGCGAAGGCGGCCCCCUGGACAGAUACUGACACUCAGAUGCGAAAGCGUGGGGAGCAAACAGGAUUAGAUACCCUGGUAGUCCACGCCGUAAACGAUGUCUACUUGGAGGUUGUGGCCUUGAGCCGUGGCUUUCGGAGCUAACGCGUUAAGUAGACCGCCUGGGGAGUACGGUCGCAAGAUUAAAACUCAAAUGAAUUGACGGGGGCCCGCACAAGCGGUGGAGCAUGUGGUUUAAUUCGAUGCAACGCGAAGAACCUUACCUACUCUUGACAUCCAGAGAACUUUCCAGAGAUGGAUUGGUGCCUUCGGGAACUCUGAGACAGGUGCUGCAUGGCUGU